rnacentral:misc_RNA from 1 species
GGAAAACAACCAUAUCCAUAUGGUAAUUUAAAAAAAUCCGGUUUCAAUAUAGGUCAACCGCGAAAAGGUAAUAGGUAAACCAUCCGAACCCCUUUGACAACUUCCAGUAUAAAGUUUGCAUGGGAUAUGCAACACUACCAUGUUGUUUUGACUUCUAACUAGCUUGCUGAUAUCCUCCUGAAAGCAAGCAAAGUAAUGAUGGUAUUGUUAGGGACGGAUGAAAUGUGGAGGGUACAUUGAGCUACUACUGGUACUUGCUUGAGUAGUAAAACUUGAUGUAGGUAAGAGUAGUUCCGCCUGAGGACAAUAGCUAUUGGAUGGCACGUCCAGCAGCAAGUCCUGAUGGGAGUUCUCAUUUGCAGAACGGAGAGAAUCCAGAACGAGAGAACUAUUCUCAGAAGGCAAGGCAAACGAGCUUCUUGGACUGAAGCAAGAGCCAUCGUUGUCUACUAGUUCCUUCUGCUCAUAGAUGCUUUUCAUCACCACCCUUUUGGGGCUCUUCAUUGUCGUCUUUGCACCUGAACACUUCGGAUAUUGCCCCUCCCGUGGUUUCUUCACAUUAGCUGAAUGACAUGUACCAACAGCAUUUGGCUCUCCGGCAACUUCAGAACCGCUGCUACUAUUCUUACAUUUUGUGUCCUUGAGUAAAUUAUAUUGUUGCACCCACUUUGACUUUGUUAAAUAGCAUAAUAUAAAUCUCUUCAAGUUUCUACAAUCUUCUAAUGUCAC